GAUGGAGCUAUGUGGUUUGUCUUGGGAGUUGUUGUUAUAAUCCAAGCCCAAGCCUAAUUGAGAAGAUCCAAGCUCAUUUAAAAAAAAAAUAAAAGAAAAACAAGAACAGAGGAAUCGAGAAGAAGACUCUCGGUAGGAAUCUUCUUUUUCGAUUAAACCAUCGUGAUCAGGAGUCCUAGGACGAUCAGGAGUUCUAGGGCUCUUUAUAAAGAGACCCCCUUUCUAAGAGACCCCAUCAGUCUUUUUUCCCUCUUUUCCUCCCUAAUUCCUCCGAUUGAAGCCGCGGCCCUUGAUUCGUGCUCACUGUGAUUUCUCACCGGUGAGAUCAUCGGAGGUCGAGGUAAGCUUUCCUCCUCUUCCUCUCUUCUUUCUCCUUCUUCCCGUGCCUCUGUGCACGACUGCCGGCGACGGGUGUCGUCGGAUUUUGUCGGAGAAGGAACCCCUGUUUGGUCUCUUCUUCCCUUUGGUUUUCCAGCACCGGCGAUCACUGCCGACCGCCGGCCUUGCCUCUUCGAACUCGAGAGAGUUGCCUCCCUCUGCCGUCAGUUUUCGUCGUGUCGGUCGUGGCUUGAACGGUCGGUCAAGGGAGGGGACCUGUCGGUCCCCUGUUUCGGCCUGGAAGGAGCCCGAGAGAAAAGAAAGCCCGAGAGAAAAGAAAAGAAA
rnacentral:lncRNA from 1 species